UCAUAAUUGCAUGCUGAUUUUUUUUAAGUUUGGGAACAACCUUACAAAGGUUUAACAGUAUUCCUAUAAUAUUUAUAUCAUGUCUUCUAAUAUUACAUUGUAGGAUGAAUUGAUGAGCAAAGAACAACUAUUUUAUGGUCUCUGUCAGGUUUUGCGUAAAUUUCCAAAAGAGACUGAUAGGGUAUUAUGCCAUUUUUGCUUUAAGCCAAAGAAAGUUAUAAACAAGGCCUUGUCAGUUGACCAUGCUAAAAAGAGUCAAGUGCUAGUAUCAAGUAUUAUUCUCCUUAAAACUACUUUGGAUGCCCUUCCUCUACUAUCAAAGGUACCUCUAUCUCAUACACAAAAUCACAAACUAGAAUAAAUAUUCUGGCAGUAAGCAAUUUAGGCUGAAAACAAGGUAUAUGCAGUUGCUUGUUGUAGGUUAGAGCAGUGAAAUGUGGAAGGAUUCAAGUUGAUGGUGAGAGGGUACCAAUUUCAUACAUAGUUAAAUCACCACAGAAGAUUAGCCAUUUUGUACACAUGUUUGUCUUUGCACUGAAAGCUUUGCAUUUUUACUUUUGUGGUUUAGAAGUGAUUGAGCUUGAAAUUGAUGCCGCAAAGAUUUUAGGCAUGAACCGCCUGUGAUGGCUUGUGAGGUUCCGAUUCUCCAAAAAGAACUAGACGUGCUGACUGUUUGUAAACCUGCAUCUGUCCCUUUUUGUGCCGUGUCAAAGAGCCCAUGGCUUUAUCCGUUGACCAUAACUCCAAUCGAGAUGAUGAAUAUGCAAGAAUUGAGGCAGCAGGAGGGAAGAUGAUCCAGGGGAAUGGUCAUCGUGUAUUUGGUGUCCUUACAAUGUCACGAUCUAUCGUUUAGGUAUGUCCAGAGAUGGAUGGUUUUGCAGUCAAGCUAGAUUUGUAAAUGACAGUUUGGUUAUUGAAAAAUGUUUCAUAUCUGCAAUUUGUGCGAAGAGUAUCCCGUUUAGUUUCAGUUGACAAUCAUGUAACCUGUACUAAAAGACAAGGAUGCUUGUAUAACAUAAUUGUCAACUGUUGGCUCGAAAGUGUAAGUACAUUUUCAAAAUUUUGGUGAGGCUUGCUUCCGUAGCAAAGAGGAAGAAAUGAAACAAACAUGAACAAUCAAAGUCUCAGGCAAGUUCUCAAGUUCUAUUCACAUCAUCUGUUGAUUUUAUCUGUAAAUAAAUAAACGAUGUUCUGUUGGUUAAGAUUGUGAUACUCUUCUCUUCUUAAGUAAUCUCUAUAGCUGACAGAGGAUUUUUUUAGCUAGUGGAUAUUAUUCAACCUAUUUGAGUUAUAGGUUUUUUCAUCUGAUUUAUGAUAUCUUGUUUCUUGUGGUGAACAUUUAGGCUUCUUGCACUGGCUACUUCCUUUGCUAAGGGUAUUAAUAGUCCAUAUACUGUGAACAUUUAGGCUUCUUGCACUGGCACUCAACCUAUUUUGGAGCAUAUAUACGACUAUAUAUUGCUUCUACUACAACUUUCUUUUCGUCUCGUAUCUUUCUUUCUUACUUGAUUUCUACAUGCAUCCAUCAUCAGUGUAUUUGCUUAUCUGCUGAUCUCUCAUUUCUCUCUGACCUUUUUUAAAAGAAAAGAAUACACCUUUAUUUUUAUUUUGUUUCCUACAGGGGCUUAUGCUUUAAAUUAACUUCUUUAUUCACAAUCAUCGAGUACAUGAGUAUACUUUCUAGUUAUUAAGAAGCACCACCAGUUAUUAAGGAGACUCCUAUUCUAGUUCAAGAUUCUGCAAAGAUUAAAGAAGCACCACCAGGUUCUUUCUCUUUUUCUCCUAUUAAAUUUGCAGCCCCAAAUCGAAAGUUACUGGAACUAGAUCAGAUGUUGAGGUGAGCUUCACUUGUGAAUUUUUUACUUGAGAUGAAGAAUACACUGUAUAUAGAUUAUGUUGUCACUAUUUUUUUAUUUUUGUCAGAAUUUGAUACUUGGAAAACAGAUGAAAAAUAGAAAAAUAUAAGGAGGCAGAGGAUCAAUUCAUGACCCUACUGUUUGAAUCAAUGGACACAAUAAUGAUGAAUGGUUUCUAUACAGAUGAAGUUCUAAUUUUAGAACCUAAUUAAGCAACCUUAUUGUAUAUUUUGACUUAAUUAGAGGACAAUAGUUGAUGUAUCAAUACACUUUGUUGAUGUAUGG